GACGAACGCUGGCGGCGUGCUUAACACAUGCAAGUCGAACGGAAAGGCCCUGCUUUUGUGGGGUGCUCGAGUGGCGAACGGGUGAGUAACACGUGAGUAACCUGCCCUUGACUUUGGGAUAACUUCAGGAAACUGGGGCUAAUACCGGAUAGGAGCUCCUGCUGCAUGGUGGGGGUUGGAAAGUUUCGGCGGUUGGGGAUGGACUCGCGGCUUAUCAGCUUGUUGGUGGGGUAGUGGCUUACCAAGGCUUUGCCGGGUAGCCGGCCUGAGAGGGUGACCGGCCCCGUUGGGACUGAGCUGCGGCCCAGACUCCUACGGGAGGCAGCAGUGGGGAAUAUUGCACAAUGGGCGGAAGCCUGAUGCAGCAACGCCGCGUGCGGGAUGACGGCCUUCGGGUUGUAAUCCGCUUUCGCCUGUGACGAAGCGUGAGUGACGGUAAUGGGUAAAGAAGCACCGGCUAACUACGUG
rnacentral:rRNA from 1 species